rnacentral:rRNA from 1 species
GACGAACGCUGGCGGCGUGCCUAACACAUGCAAGUCGAGCGGGGGGAGUACUUCGGUACAAACCUAGCGGCGGACGGGUGAGUAACACGUGGGUAACCUGCCGCAAAGCGGGGGAGAGCCUUCCGAAAGGAAGAUUAAUACCGCAUAACCCAUGAUUUCCGCAUGGCAGCCAUGGUAAAGAUUUAUCGCUUUGGGAGUGACCCGCGGCGCAUUAGCUAGUUGGUGAGGUAACGGCUCACCAAGGCCACGAUGCGUAGCCGACCUGAGAGUGUGAUCGGACACAUUGGAACUGAGACACGGUCCAGACUCCUACGGGAGGCAGCAGUGGGGAAUAUUGCACAAUGGGCGAAAGACUGAUGCAGCAACGCCGCGUGAGUGAUGAAGGCCUUCGGGUUGUAAAGCUCUGUCUUAUGGGACGAUAAUGACGGUACCAAAGGAGGAAGCCACGGCUAACUACGUGCCAGCCGCCGCGGUAACAC